rnacentral:lncRNA from 1 species
UGCAGUGCCCGACCCUGACAGGCUCCUCCUCCUCCUCCACCCUGCAUUGCAGUGCUCAGACCCUGGACAGGCUCCUCCUCUCCUCCACCCUGCAUUGCAGUGCUCAGACCUGGACAGGCUCCUCUCCUCCUCCACCCUGCAUUGCAUGCUCGACCUGGACAGGCUCUCUCCUCCUCCACCCUGCAUUGCAGUGCUCGACCCUGGACAGGCUCCUCCUCCUCCUCCUCCACCCUGCAUUGCAGUGCUCAGACCCUGGACAGGCUCCUCCUCCUCCUCCACCUGCAUUGCAGUGCUCCGACCCUGGACAGGUCCUCCUCCUCCUCCACCCUGCAUUGCAGUGCUCAGACCCUGGACAGGCUCCUCCUCCUCCACCCUGCAUUGCAGUGCUCAGACCCUGGGACAGGCUCCUCCUCCUCCUCCACCUGAUUGCAGUGCUCAGACCCGGACGGCUCCUCCUCCUCCUCCACCCUGCAUUGCAGUGCUCAGACCCUGGACAGGUCCUCCUCCUCCUCCACCCUCAUGCUCGCUCAGACCCUGGACAGGCUCCUCCUCCUCCUCCACCCUGCAUUGCAGUGCUCAGACCCUGGACAGGCUCUCCUCCUCCUCCACCCUGCAUGCAUGUCACAGACCCUGGACAGGCUCCUCCUCCUCCUCCACCCUGCAUUGCAGUGCUCAGACCCUGGACAGGCUCCUCCUCCUCCUCCACCCUGCAUUGCAGUGCUCAAAACCGAACAGUCGCCAUUCAAAUUCACACAGUCGCCAGAACAAGAACAGCUUUCAACCGGACAUAAACAGCGCAGUCAUGCUGUACCUCGCUUUGUUUUUCAUCUCGGCAGCCGUCGCCACCCCUCUGUUGGGGACUGAACAGUGGGUAACUAGUGUCUACUCUCUCCUAGCCGUCGCCACCCCUCUGUUGGGGACUGAACAGUGGGUAACUAGUGUCUACUCUCUCCUAGCUGUCGCCAC